rnacentral:rRNA from 1 species
AACGAACGCUGGCGGCAUGCCUAACACAUGCAAGUCGAACGGGAACUUCGGGUCUAGUGGCGCCGGGGGGCGUAAGGGGGAGGAACAUACCCUUAGGUUCGGAAUCACUCCCCGAAAGGGGUGCUAAGACCGGCUAAUAUCUUCUACGCAAUGCUUUAUCGCGUUUGGGUGGGCCCGCGUUGGCUAGGCUGGUUGGGAGGGUAAAAGCCUAUCAAGGCGACGAGCCAUAACUGGGCUGAGAGGAUGAUCAGCAACUCCUGGGCUGGGAAACGGCCCAGACUCUUACGGGAUGCAGGAGUGGGGAAUAUUGGACAAUGGGCGAAAGGCUGAUCCAGCUAGGCCGGGAGAGUGAUGAAGGCCUUAGGGUUGUAAAGCUCUUUUACCCGGGAUGAUAAUGACAGUACCGUGAGAAUAAGCUCCGGCUAACUCCGUG